UACGUAAGUGGCGAGCGUUAUUCGGAUUCACUGGGCGUAAAGGGUGCGCAGGCGGCCAAGUGUGUUAGGCGUGAAAGCCCGGGGCUUAACCUCGGAAUUGCACCUAAAACUACAUGGCUAGAGCAUUGGAGAGGGUAGCGGAAUUCACGGUGUAGCAGUGAAAUGCGUAGAUAUCGUGAGGAACACCAGAGGCGAAGGCGGCUACCUGGACAAUUGCUGACGCUCAGGCACGAAAGCGUGGGGAGCAAAAGGG
rnacentral:rRNA from 1 species